rnacentral:tRNA from 1 species
ACUAAAAUGGCAGAAGUGAGUGCAGUAGAGUUAAGAUCUACAAAUAAAAUAAUAUUUUUUUUAGUU